rnacentral:tRNA from 1 species
GUGGAUAUAGCUCAGUGAUAGAGCACAUGCUUAGUGUGCAUGAGGUCCUGGGUUCAAUCCCCGGUACCUCCA